rnacentral:rRNA from 1 species
AGUGAACGCUGGCGGUAGGCCUAACACAUGCAAGUCGAACGGCAGCACAGUAAGAGCUUGCUCUUACGGGUGGCGAGUGGCGGACGGGUGAGGAAUACAUCGGAAUCUACUUUUUCGUGGGGGAUAACGUAGGGAAACUUACGCUAAUACCGCAUACGACCUACGGGUGAAAGCAGGGGAUCUUCGGACCUUGCGCGAUUGAAUGAGCCGAUGUCGGAUUAGCUAGUUGGCGGGGUAAAGGCCCACCAAGGCGACGAUCCGUGGCUGGUCUGAGAGGAUGAUCAGCCACACUGGAACUGAGACACGGUCCAGACUCCUACGGGAGGCAGCAGUGGGGAAUAUUGGACAAUGGGCGCAAGCCUGAUCCAGCCAUACCGCGUGGGUGGAGAAGGCCUUCGGGUUGUAAAGCCCUUUUGUUGGGAAAGAAAAGCAGCAGGUUAAUACCCCGCUGUUCUGACGGUACCCAAAGAAUAAGCACCGGCUAACUUCGUG